rnacentral:rRNA from 1 species
GUGCCAGCCGCCGCGGUAAUACCGGCAGCUCAAGUGAUGGCCGAUCUUAUUGGGCCUAAAGCGUCCGUAGCUGGCCUCGCAAGUCCGUCGGGAAAUCCAUCAGCCCAACUGAUGGGCGUCCGGCGGAAACUACAAGGCUUGGGACCGGAAGGCUCGAGGGGUACGUCUGGGGUAGGAGUGAAAUCCCGUAAUCCCGAACGGACCACCGAUGGCGAAAGCACUUCGAGAAAACGGAUCCGACAGUGAGGGACGAAAGCCAGGGUCUCCAACCGGAUUAGAAACCCGAGUAGUCC